UACGUAGGGUGCAAGCGUUAUCCGGAAUUAUUGGGCGUAAAGAGCUCGUAGGCGGUUUGUCGCGUCUGCUGUGAAAACUGGGGGCUCAACCCCCAGCCUGCAGUGGGUACGGGCAGACUAGAGUGCGGUAGGGGAGAUUGGAAUUCCUGGUGUAGCGGUGGAAUGCGCAGAUAUCAGGAGGAACACCGAUGGCGAAAGCAGCCACCUGGGCACGUACUGACGCUGAGGUGCGAAAGCGUGGGGAGCGAACAGG
rnacentral:rRNA from 1 species